rnacentral:rRNA from 1 species
AGUGAACGCUGGCGGUAGGCCUAACACAUGCAAGUCGAACGGCAGCACAGGAGAGCUUGCUCUCGGGGUGGCGAGUGGCGGACGGGUGAGGAAUACAUCGGAAUCUACUCUGUCGUGGGGGAUAACGUAGGGAAACUUACGCUAAUACCGCAUACGACCUACGGGUGAAAGCGGGGGACCUUGGGGCCUUGCGCGAUGAAAUGAGCCGAUGUCGGAUGAGCUAGUUGGCGGGGUAAAGGCCCACCAAGGCGACGAUCCGUAGCUGGUCUGAGAGGAUGAUCAGCCACACUGGAACUGAGACACGGUCCAGACUCCUACGGGAGGCAGCAGUGGGGAAUAUUGGACAAUGGGCGCAAGCCUGAUCCAGCCAUACCGCGUGGGUGAAGAAGGCCUUCGGAUUGUAAAGCCCUUUUGUUGGGAAAGAAAUCCAGCUGGCUAAUACCCGGUUGGGAUGACGGUACCCAAAGAAUAAGCACCGGCUAACUUCGUGCCAGCCGCCGCCGUAA